rnacentral:lncRNA from 1 species
UUGUUCACUGUUAUACUCACUCCACUUCCUAGGAAAUGCCUAGAAAUAGAAGGAACUCAGUAAGUACUUCCUGGAACAGAAACUCCAAUCAUUCAUGAAUUCUCAGAGCAUCCCUUUCUGUGAUAGUAGAGUGGAGAAAAACUUCCCAUGGGUCUAUAAUCCUAUCCCUGCACAGAAAGGCUGUCACCAUUUGACCAAAAGGGAGGACAGGACAGAAGGACCAUAAGUCAAUGGUUUUCUUUAGUGUGCUGCCAGCAGAAUCAGAAUCACCUGGAAGCUGAGGACAUGGAUGGAGUUGGAAGCCAUUAUCCUCAGGAAACUCAUGCAAGAACAGAAAACCAAACACCACAUGUUCUCACUUAUAAGUGGGAGCUGAAUGAUAAGAACAUAUGGAUGCAUCAGGGAGAACAACACACACUGGGACCUAUUGGGGGAUGGGAGGAGGAAGAGCAUCAGGAAUAAUAGCUAAUGGAUUCUGGGCUUAAAACCUAGGUGAUGGGUUGAUCUAUGCAGCAAACCACCAGGGCACACGUUUACCUAUGUAACAAACCUGUACAGCCUGCACUUGUACCCCUGAACUUAAAAUUAAAGUUGAAGUAAGAA